AUGUCUAGGCUAACUGAAGAACACAAACAACGACACAUCUUUAAUUUCACAAUCUAUAACUUAAGUUAUAUACUAUUGUGUGUAUCUUAUGGUUUAAAAGUCAUUAAUAAAAGUCAAAUGUCUUAUUUACAAAGUUAUAUCGACAUACAUCAUAAAACGAUUUUAAAGGAUUUCUUCAUAAAUUAAUAGGUCCCUCAGCCAAUGGAAUUGCUGUGACGUCAGAGGGAGACCCAAUUUUAAGGUGGGACUCGAUUUCUCACGACACGUGGCGGCUUUAACAGCGGCUUUCUUUCCAUGUAUUUUCAAUUUUCACUGUUUUGAACGCUAAGUAAAAACCGGGACUGUCCCCGGAUCACCCUACUUUAGCAGCAGGUGUUACCGCUUUUCUGUUUGCCACCGCUUGGUGACCAUGCUUCAAGUAGAGGAAACAGGAAGAAGGCAAGACUUAACAAAAGACACGCAUUGCGUGAAUAACUAUACUACGCUAUUCUUUAUCAUGAGCAGAGCAGCUCAAGCACCAACGUCUGAUGAGUUCGCUGCAGUUGAUUUAUAGGUGGCUCCUGGAUUGAGCAUGUAGAGGCAUUGCUUCAGUUCAUCCAGGGUGAAUGCAACAGUGCAACUUUGCAAAGCAUAAACCGUGUAAGCCUAUAACAUCUGCAGUGAAUUUACUUUUCACCAUACACCGAGAGCCUGGUCUGCGAUGAGCAAGUUUGAUUUGAGAAUGAAACUGCAAACUUUGUAAAAUUGAAGUUACAAUGAGGCACUUACAAUGGAAGUGAAUGGGGCCGAUUUUUAGAGGGUUUAAAGGCAGAAAUGUGAAGAUUAUAAUUUUAUAAAAGCACUUGGAUUAAUUCUUCUGUUAAAACGUGUGUAUUUAAGGUGUAACGUUGUUUAAAUUGUCAUUUUAAAGUUUUAGGGUUUGUUGACAUUAAAUCGUCAUGGCAAUGAAGUUGUAAAAUUGGUUAUUACUUUACAAAAUAUUCUUAAUAUUACUAAAUCAUAAGUUAUACACGCACUGAGCACUUUAUUAGGAACACCUGUACAUCUAAUUUUUCAUGCAACUUUCUAAUCAGCCAAUCUUGUGACAGCAGUGCAGUGCAUAAAAUCAUGCAGAUACGGGUCAAGAGCUUCAGUUAAUGCUCGCAUCAACCAUCAGAAUGGGGAAAAAAUUUGAUCUCUGUGAUUUUGACCAUGGCAUGAUUGUUGUUGCCAGUGAUUUUGACCGUGGCAUGAUUGUUGGUACCAGACGGACUGGUUUGCGUAUUUCUGUAACUGCUGAUCUCCUGGGAUUUUCACACACAACAGCCUCUAGAGUUUGCUCAGAAUAGUGCCAAAAACAAAACAUCCAGUGAGUGGCAGUUCUGCAGAUGGAAACGCCUUGUUGAUAAGAGAGGUAAAUGGAGAAUGGCCAGAUUGGUUCGAGCUGACAGAAAGGCUGUGGUAAUUCAGAUAACCACUCUGUACAAUUGAAGUUAGCAGAAUAGCAUUUCAGAAUGCACAACAUGUCGAACCUUGAGGCGGAUAGGCUACAACAGCAGAAGACCAUGUCGGGCACUUUAUUAUAGUGUUCCUAAUAAAGUGUUCAGUGAGUGUAUACUGUAUAGUUAUAUUGUCUACUAAAGCAAUAUAUAAUUGAAUAUACUGGCAUAAAUGUAUGUAAAUUAUACAACAGAAAUCCUGAAUUUUAUGUUCGCAUAUUAUUUUGAAAGACUGUGGAAUAUUUGUACUUUUAAAAAUGCAUUGUUACACCACAGGACCAUUUAAAAUGAACUAGUGAAGGUGAAAAUGUGAUUAAAACAGUGAGAGAAAAAAAAGUUAAUGGUUACAUGUUAACUGCCCAAAUAUAAUGAGGAAAAAAAAUGUAGUCUACAUAAAUAAAAUGUACUUUUAAAAUGUUAAA